GCCCGGAGCCGGGCCCCGGGCUUCGAAAAGAGGAGCCCUGGUGGGAAUUUCGGCGCAAGUCCGAAGCUGCCCCCGCAACUGUGACCGGGGAGCGCCCCUUCCACGCGAUGCCACUGGGUUACACCGGGAAGGCGGUAGUGGCGCGACGAUCCGGGAGCCAGGAGACCUGCCUGUGACGGUCGUUCCGC
rnacentral:ncRNA from 2 species